rnacentral:rRNA from 1 species
UAGACCCGAAACCCGGUGAUCUAGCCAUGGGCAGGUUGAAGGUUGGGUAACACUAACUGGAGGACCGAACCGACUAAUGUUGAAAAAUUAGCGGAUGACUUGUGGCUGGGGGUGAAAGGCCAAUCAAACCGGGAGAUAGCUGGUUCUCCCCGAAAGCUAUUUAGGUAGCGCCUCGUGAAUUCAUCUCCGGGGGUAGAGCACUGUUUCGGCAAGGGGGUCAUCCCGACUUACCAACCCGAUGCAAACUGCGAAUACCGGAGAAUGUUAUCACGGGAGACACACGGCGGGUGCUAACGUCCGUCGUGAAGAGGGAAACAACCCAGACCGCCAGCUAAGGUCCCAAAGUCAUGGUUAAGUGGGAAACGAUGUGGGAAGGCCCAGACAGCCAGGAUGUUGGCUUAGAAGCAGCCAUCAUUUAAAGAAAGCGUAAUAGCUCACUGGUCGAGUCGGCCUGCGCGGAAGAUGUAACGGGGCUAAACCAUGCACCGAAGCUGCGGCAGCGACACUAUGUGUUGUUGGGUAGGGGAGCGUUCUGUAAGCCUGUGAAGGUGGCCUGUGAGGGUUGCUGGAGGUAUCAGAAGUGCGAAUGCUGACAUAAGUAACGAUAAAGCGGGUGAAAAGCCCGCUCGCCGGAAGACCAAGGGUUCCUGUCCAACGUUAAUCGGGGCAGGGUGAGUCGACCCCUAAGGCGAGGCCGAAAGGCGUAGUCGAUGGGAAACAGGUUAAUAUUCCUGUACUUGGUGUUACUGCGAAGGGGGGACGGAGAAGGCUAUGUUGGCCGGGCGACGGUUGUCCCGGUUUAAGCGUGUAGGCUGGUUUUCCAGGCAAAUCCGGAAAAUCAAGGCUGAGGCGUGAUGACGAGGCACUACGGUGCUGAAGCGACAAAUGCCCUGCUUCCAGGAAAAGCCUCUAAGCAUCAGGUAACAUCAAAUCGUACCCCAAACCGACACAGGUGGUCAGGUAGAGAAUACCAAGGCGCUUGAGAGAACUCGGGUGAAGGAACUAGGCAAAAUGGUGCCGUAACUUCGGGAGAAGGCACGCUGAUAUGUAGGUGAAGCGACUUGCUCGUGGAGCUGAAAUCAGUCGAAGAUACCAGCUGGCUGCAACUGUUUAUUAAAAACACAGCACUGUGCAAACACGAAAGUGGACGUAUACGGUGUGACGCCUGCCCGGUGCCGGAAGGUUAAUUGAUGGGGUUAGCGGUAACGCGAAGCUCUUGAUCGAAGCCCCGGUAAACGGCGGCCGUAACUAUAACGGUCCUAAGGUAGCGAAAUUCCUUGUCGGGUAAGUUCCGACCUGCACGAAUGGCGUAAUGAUGGCCAGGCUGUCUCCACCCGAGACUCAGUGAAAUUGAACUCGCUGUGAAGAUGCAGUGUACCCGCGGCAAGACGGAAAGACCCCGUGAACCUUUACUAUAGCUUGACACUGAACAUUGAGCCUUGAUGUGUAGGAUAGGUGGGAGGCUUUGAAGUGUGGACGCCAGUCUGCAUGGAGCCGACCUUGAAAUACCACCCUUUAAUGUUUGAUGUUCUAACGUGGGCCCCUUACCGGGGUUGCGGACAGUGUCUGGUGGGUAGUUUGACUGGGGCGGUCUCCUCCUAAAGAGUAACGGAGGAGCACGAAGGUUGGCUAAUCCUGGUCGGACAUCAGGAGGUUAGUGCAAUGGCAUAAGCCAGCUUGACUGCGAGCGUGACGGCGCGAGCAGGUGCGAAAGCAGGUCAUAGUGAUCCGGUGGUUCUGAAUGGAAGGGCCAUCGCUCAACGGAUAAAAGGUACUCCGGGGAUAACAGGCUGAUACCGCCCAAGAGUUCAUAUCGACGGCGGUGUUUGGCACCUCGAUGUCGGCUCAUCACAUCCUGGGGCUGAAGUAGGUCCCAAGGGUAUGGCUGUUCGCCAUUUAAAGUGGUACGCGAGCUGGGUUUAGAACGUCGUGAGACAGUUCGGUCCCUAUCUGCCGUGGGCGCUGGAGAACUGAGGGGGGCUGCUCCUAGUACGAGAGGACCGGAGUGGACGCAUCACUGGUGUUCGGGUUGUCAUGCCAAUGGCACUGCCCGGUAGCUAAAUGCGGAAGAGAUAAGUGCUGAAAGCAUCUAAGCACGAAACUUGCCCCGAGAUGAGUUCUCCCUGACUCCUUGAGAGUCCUGAAGGAACGUUGAAGACGACGACGUUGAUAGGCCGGGUGUGUAAGCGCAGCGAUGCGUUGAGCUAACCGGUACUAAUGAACCGUGAGGCUUAACCUU